rnacentral:rRNA from 1 species
UACGUAGGCGGAAAAUUAAGUCAGUAGUGAAAUCCUGCAGCUUAACUGUAGAACUGUUAUUGAUACUGGUUUUCUUGAAUAUAGUUGAGGUAAGCGGAAUGUGUAAUGUAGCGGUGAAAUGCUUAGAUAUUACACAGAACACCGAUUGCGAAGGCAGCUUACUAAGCUAUGAUUGACGCUGAGGUACGAAAGCGUGGGGAGCGAACAGGAUUAGAUACCCUGGUAGUCCU